AAUAUUGGGCAAUGGGCGAAAGCCUGACCCAGCAACGCCGCGUGAAGGAAGAAGGUCUUCGGAUUGUAAACAUCUGUCCUAUGGGACGAAGGAAGUGACGGUACCAUAGGAGGAAGCCCCGGCUAACUACGUGCCAGCAGCCGCGGUAAUACGUAGGGGGCGAGCGUUGUCCGGAAUUACUGGGCGUAAAGGGUGCGUAGGCGGAAUGUCAAGUCAGAUGUGAAAUACCCGGGCCUAACCCGGGGGCUGCAUUUGAAACUGACAUCCUUGAGUGCAGGAGAGGCAAGUGGAAUUCCUAGUGUAGCGGUGAAAUGCGUAGAUAUUAGGAGGAACACCGGUGGCGAAGGCGGCUAUCUGGACAGUAACUGACGCUGAGGCGCGAAAGCGUGGGGAGCAAACAGG
rnacentral:rRNA from 1 species